GAAAGAGAAGAAAAAAGAUCCUUAGAGGGAUACAUAGUUCUUGAUUGUAGAGCUAGGAAGCUCUCAGGAAGCUACAAUGUGACAAUUUCUGGGGGAGGGAAAAUAAGUGGAAGAAACUUUAGAAAUCUUUGCUUUGACAUCAAAGAAUAUGGAAUUCCAAAUCUUUUCUAACGGCCUAGAGUUGGAGGUCCAUUUCCUCUGAUUUCUCUUCAUCCAAAUUUGAUUUAGAGUAACACAGAAAGCAAAUUUCUCCACAUAAUCAGAAUUAGUCUUCCCUUGGAAAGUCAUGUCCAUCCAAACCCAUUCCCUUUAGAAAUGGAGAACUCUUCUAUUAAUCGGCCAGCAUUUGGAGAGAACAAACUUCCAGAUGGAGGAGGAGAUAGGGCAAGCAAAAAAUAGAUGGUUUGUGUCUUCUGGGUCAGAUCCACAGAGAUGGCAUAAAGGAGAGACAUGGAUGCUUCCUUGGAUAAGGAAGGCUUGCGUAGGAAGACAAUUCAUGAAGACUAACCAUGCAGUGAAGCUUUGACGAGGGAUGUGGUGCUUGAACCAGAUGAGCUUGUGCCAGGGCGUGGGAGGUCCAUGAGCUCUGAUGAGGUCCCAGGCGGACUUAACAUUGAAAAUGUCAUUCGAGCAUGGGACCAAACAAUAGUAUCAAGCCUUGAUGACCCUAGGAGAGGGGUGGCAGGUAGGGAGGACCAGAUUUCAUCUACUGAGAGGUGGAAGGGCCAGGGGGUUCCAAGAACCAGUAGAGAUGAUAUCAGCAAUCAAAGGUUGCCUAAGGAGCCCCGAGUUGUAUAUAUUUCUAGCACUGAGAAUUUGAGACAGGAUUCUUUUGGGAUGCCAAUGAUCUCACCAUAAGAAGGUGGAGGUGCCAUCUCCAAUGUGGGUGAGGAUAGCUCUAGAAGCGACAGAUCUCAAGAACAGUAGCUUGCGCCAUACCUAGGAAGCAUCAGAGGGAGUGCUGAUUAACCAAAUAAUUUAUUGCCUGAGGAGAUGGGAAUAUACCCAAUCCACCCAAAUGCUUUUCUUUUUAUUGAAAGUCUUCCAUACAAGCUUGAGCAUGCAUGCCAUGUUGACAUCCUUGAUGCAUCUCAAACCAAGCCCCCCUUCAUUUUUAGGAAUACAUGUAGUGGCCCAGCUAACGGGGCGAAGGAAACAAGAGGCCUCACACCCUUUCCGAAGGAAUGUAGCAAAUAAACACUCCAAUUUUGUAACAAUCAUCUUGGGAAGACCAUAUAUACCCAACCAGUAGAUAUAAGAAGCUUGAAGGACUGAUCGGAUGAGCCCCAGACGGCCCACUUAUGAAGUUUAAUCUGCCUACUCUUUUAAUGUUUAAUCUGACAUUUGAUAUCAGACAACAAUAUCCCGGCAUUAUAUAGAAAGACAACUAUGAAGCUACCAAUGACCACUCUUGGUUUGUUUGAUCCCUACUAGAAACUAAGACUGCAUUUGGUAGUCAUCCGAAAAAAUGUUUUUGUCGUUUUUUUGUUUUACGGGAACAAGAAAACUAAAUCUUUCGUUUGGUGUCUCUGGUUUGUUUUUCCGUUUUCUGAAACGAACCGGGUAAAAAAAACCCUAGAAACAAGAAAUGUUGGAACAUGAUAACCAUGUUCCAACAUUUGAGUUUUGUUCUAAAAUGGAAAAUUCUGGUUUUACAAGAAACAUUGUUUCUAAAACAGAAUUGACUACCAAACGCAGACUAAGAGAAACAUGCAUGUGCAACUUUGCAAGGCACAUUUGGGCAGUAAUGACAUUCAAUCAUGACCAUCAUAGUUUGAUAGAGAUAACAUCAAAUUAAGGUAAAUCUAUUUAGUGGUCAGAUCAUAUCUAUGUGUAUCAAUUCCUAUUGGUUUAUGAAGUUUCUAUGUUUUUGGUUAGCUGAAGAUUUCUCUAUACAAGCACAUCUGUACUAUCACAUGGCCAUAUUGGUGCAUGAACUAUAAAUUUGUUGUCUAUAUCAUCAUCUAGUCAUGACUCAUGAGUUGAUAUUCAGUCUAGUACAUCAUUGUCAUGCAUUAAAAUAAUGUUUUAUAUUGUUAUGUAACAAAUAACUCUUUGAAGAACAUGGAAGAGGAAAACCCACCUUAAAUGGUAGGUAAUAUGUUCAGAAUGGGCAGUAGGCUCUUAAUACUACCUCUAUAGAGAAGAAUCUCUACAUGAGAAUAUGAUUAUUACUAUUUGGAGGACUAGAGAGGAAUCUCUACGUGGGAAUGCAAUUAUUACCAUUCGGAGGACAGUAAAAUAUCCCCACUAUCAGAUACCAAGGAUGGAUCUUGGGACUCCCAACAUCAAAUUUCAUUUCUAGCUUAUCUAAUAUUACCCAACACUUUAUUGAUAUUUUUCUUGCUUGUAUUUUCAACUACUAAAACUGUGGGAGUCUGAUCUGACCAAUUUAAUCGUUCGAUAGAUGAGGGACCAUUUGGACUGACCAUCUAUAAAAUCUCAUAGUUAAAUUCAAUCAUAUGGGCAAAAUCUAUGUUGAAUCUCUUCUUGUCGAUCCAAAUAUUAAAUCUAAAAUUGACUUGUGAACUGUGUCAUGUGGUAUAAUGCUCUCGAACUGAAAUUCAUCAAUUACUACAAAAUGAUUGUUGCAACAUUCCACAAAUUUCAGGUGCUAAUUGAUCUGUCGCACAACAGAUAAAAGGUAACUAUGAGAUGGGACAAUAUAAGUGAACCCUAACCUGGUUUUUAGUUUUUGAACUUGAAAGCAUUGACCUAAAAUUAUUGUUAACAUGUGACCAUUCUUGAGUUAUUUGAAUAAUGCAUCAAUUAUUUGCAUUCAAACCUUUUCUUUAUUUAUUUUGGUAAGGAAAAUUAAGUGCAUGCAAAAGUUCUGUAUUUUCUUGGAAAGCUAAUAAAGCAUGUCUUCCAAUUAGACCUUCACUUUUAAUUAUUUUUUCCAUAUUUAUUUUUGUCUUCUCUUGGUUGUAGGAAUGAAGAGAUUGUAGUGUUAGAAAUGUACGCCCCUAAGUCAAUUUUAUGGAAUUUUUAAAUUAAUAAUUUAUAUUUUUCUAAUGCAAUGAGGUAAUGCAGCUUUUAUCCAAAUUUACAUUUUAGUGCUUAUAUAUCAAUGAGAAAGAUACAACAACAACAAGAACAACCAAAACCUUAUCCCAACUAAAUGGGGUCGGCUACAUGGAUCCGAUAUUGAAAUUAGAAAAUAAAGAAGCCCAAAAGAGGUUAAAAAAAUGAGGAAAAAUUGAGAUAAGAGAAGACAGCAAAGCAAUAGAGAAAGACGCAUCAUGGGAAACAUCCCCUAUAAGGGGUCAAUAACACGGGUCCUUGUCCUCCACAAAACUCUAUCCGAAGUCAUACUAGGAUCAAGCCCUAUCCUUUGCAUAUCUUUUCGAACCACUUCGUUAAUAGUCACCUUAGGCCUACCCCUAUCUUUUCUGGCUCCCACAAAAUAUAUUUGGCUAGUCUUCCUUACUAGGGCAUCCAUAGGUCUCCGUUGAACAUGGCCAUACCACCUCAACCGGCUCUCACAGAGUUUAUCCUGAAUAGGUGCAACCCAUAAGGUGUCCCUAAUACAAUCAUUCUUUAUCCUAUCUCUUUUGGUCUUCCCGCACAACCCUCUCAACAUUCUCAUCUCCGCUACACUCAGUUUAUUUAAAAUACUAUUCUUGACUACCCAACACUCUGCUCCAUACAUCAUAGUUGGUCGAAUAACUAUCUUGCAAAAUUUUCACUUGAGUUUAAUAGGCACUCUUAAUCACCCAACUUUAAUCCUGUGGGCAACAUCAUCAUUUAUGUCUUCCUCUUUGGCAAUGAUGGAGCCCAAGUAUUUAAAACAAUCACUCUGGGGUAGAUUCUGUUCCCUGAGUUUCACCACUCCCUUCCCUACUCUAGAUUGUCUGAAGGGGCACAUCAUAUAUUCGGUCUUCAUCCUGCUUAUCCUAAAUCCUUUUGAUUCGAAGCUAGAUCUCCAUAGCUUCAGUUUAGUAUUAAUCACAUCUACAAUUUCAUCAAUUAGAACAAUAUCAUCAAUAAAUAGCAUACACCACGGAACCGAGUCUUGGAUGUACCUAGUUAGAUCAUCCAUAAUGAGUGCAAACAAAUACGGACUUAAAGUAGAACCUUGGUGUAGCCCAACUGUGAUUGGGAAUUCAUUACUUUGACCCUCUGUUAUUUUGACACUUGUCACCACUCCCUCGUACAUGUCCUUAAUUAUAUCUACAUAAUUAAUCAUACCCCUUCUCCUCUCUAGGAGAUGCUAGAUUAGUUCUCUUGGUAUUCUAUCAUAGGCUUUUUCUAGGUCAAUAAAUACCAUAUGGAGGUCUUUUUGUGGACUCUAAAUACUUUCAUAAGCCUCUAUAGGAGGUAAAUAGCUUUUGUUGUGGAUCUCCGUGGCAUAAAACCAAAUUGAUUCUCCAAUACCUCAGUUUCCUCUCUUAAGUGAGUCUCAAUAAUCUUUUUCCAAAGUUUCAUGGUAUGACUCAUAAGUAUUAUGCCUCUGUAGUUAUUGCAAUUCUGGGCAUCACCUUUGUUCUUACAAAUCAGAACCACAAUGCUUCUCCUCCACUCAUCUGUCAUAGUUUUUGUACUCAGGAUUUUGUUGAACAAUUCUAGGCAUCACCUUUGUUCUUAUAGUGUAAUGUAAAUUAAAUAUGUUAUCCACAAAGGAUUGUGCAUGGGCAACCAAUCUUAAGUUGAUGCGGCAUAUAAUUAAGAAAAGUGUAUUCUAAUUACAUGCCCAGUUGAUGGUUAACACUAACAAUUCCCCUAGACAUCAUGUGACAAGUGACAAAAAGAAUCAAAUGAAGUAUUCCAAGAAGAAAAAGUAACGGGAUGGGAUUGUCAUGGUGGGUGUACAUAUGGGGUUGGAGUAACCACGAAAGAGAUGUUUGGCAUAUAGGGAAUGCGCACCCAGAGGCAAGGACAAUAGAUUGCAGGUCUGAGAGAAUAGAAUUCCCAAUUGAAAGUGGAGAUUUCUCAACAGGAUGAGAAGAUUACUCAACAAGGUGCAAAGAUGAAUGAGAUGAAGUCCCAAAUAGUUGAAGUUAUGCAAUUUAUGACGUCGUUUCAGUCUUCCCAAGGAGAGAAGAUGGAGACUGUUGUGCCGGUGAUGUUUUGUAGUUGUACAUAUUGUAGAGUGGACCUGUAGAUAUUGUGGUUGGAAUUGUAGUGACAGUUGGAGGAGAAAUACACGUGUAAAAGAGCAGUUGGUUAAGGUCUUCUCUCCGAGGAAGCUAGAAGAAGAGGAGGAUUUUAUUGAUGUUCUUGACCCUUGCAUAAUAAAGAAAACUGCUGACUUGAGGAUUCCAAUAUGCAGAAUCUGAAGCAUGGGAAGAUGAUAGAGCUGGAGAUAAAGGGCUAUUUUCAGGUUUGCCAUUCCUUUAUUAGAUCUUUGAGGCCUCUUUUUAGUCCUGAACUUGAGUGCAUGAAUGUAGUGGCAUCUUACAUUCUUCUAGAUAUCACAAGAAAAUUGUGACCAGCUCUGAAAAUAUGCCACACAAGGUUUUUCGAAGUCUUGUUUGGUUAAACUUUUGUAUAGCCAUACAAUUUGACAAUGUGACCCAGGUGGGAACAAAUGGAGUGUUAGUUCCUGGAUAUACCAUUGUGCAUGAUCAUCCUUUCAAACUCCACUUUUGUUAAGCACCAUUGAUUUUCACUAAUUGUCAAGAUUGUGUCGAAGUUAUACUUUUUGUAGUUGAAAGAGCCACGAAAAUUCCUCUUCAAGUGAAAUAUCUUAGCACUUAUAAUUUCUGGCUAUGUUUUUUUCUUUUCUUUGACAUGAUCUAUUACUUUAAUAUGCUGCACGACGAUGGUUCUUCAAAGUAUAUCCUAAUAUGUAUCUUUGAUGCAGAUCAAAGCCUGAGAAGAAGAGGGCUGAGAAUCAACUUUAGAGAAAAAGAUUUUUUUUACUAUUCACGACUUACUGUUCAUAUGAACAGUACCCACGUGAAUAGUAACCAAUAUGGGUCCCACUACCAGCUCAUGAUAUGGAGAAGACAUGAAGAAGAUUUCCUCUUGAUUCUUGGGCCCCAUGGCCAGCUCGCAUGGAGGAGUUUAAGCUCUAAGAUUUUAGGAAAUCUUUGAUUGAUGUAGUUUUCAUUUUCAUAUUUCCUCGUAAGAGCUAGAAAGAUAUUAUCUAGCUAGUUUCUAAUUUUAGUUUUUUAUUUUUAACAAGUAGGAAUUCUAAUUUAUUAGGUUUCAUCUUUGUAAAAAGGGAGAGAUUUGAUUUGACUUGUAAUUAGUUUCCAAGUAGGAUAAAAUAUCUAAAUUAUAAGGGGAUUCCUUUCCUUUCCAUGCAAGGAAGGACACAAUUUUGUAAUUAAUUUGAAGUUUAUAAAUAAAGGAAGAAUGCUGAUCGACAACC